CUGGCCUGGGCAUAGCCCUCACAGGUACCAACCAACACAACUUUCUACAGCCAGUCAUUACUAUUUAGUUAAAAAACUCUCCUAGUGAAUGUUUUGGAUGCCACUUCAUUCCAUUUAGCGUUUCAGGCAGCACAUAAAGACUGACUUCCACACCAGUGAGCGUGGGGAACCAGAGAUGAGUGUGAACCAUAGGAAAAUUGACCCUCAGUGGAUUUUCAAUCCUAAUCACGUUAUAUAAGCAACCCAAAAAGAAAACAAAAGAAAAAACUCAAGCCAUGCAUUUUAUUUAAAAGGGUGUGAACUGAUGCUGGGCAGAAGCAAACACUGAUCUUCUGGAGAGAAAGGUGCUUUCAUUCUAGGGGUCAAAUUACUCCUACAGAUAGUUUUUAGAGGACAAUGAGCUGCCUACGAAAAAUAAGCAAGCUCACAAGGACAGAGGAACAAGGAGCAGGACCCCGCCGAAGCUUCAGGCAGCAGGGACCUGCAAAGACCUCAGCCAUCAGUGAUAACCGUGCUCAUCCGAUGUGGACCAUAGAACUUGCGGUGACUAGGCCUAAAGAAAUGCAAGACAGGCUGGGGCUGCAUAGCUCAACUGGAGGAGGACUGAGGAUGGGGGACGGAGGAGGCUGUGAGUGCAUUCCUGAAAUUCUUCAGACUCAUGAGGAUGGUGGGAAGUGAACACUGGAGCUGCAGGCACUUGCAGAGAGAAAGUUCAGGCGGCUGGCUGGUUCCCCACUGACUGCACAGGGCGGGGACCCCCUCCCCACUCAGAACCCCAGGCCAAAGGCCAUGGGGUAUGCAGUCAUCAUUGCAAAACAGAUGCCGCUGGACUCUCUGGAAUUUAGGCGGGUUUGAGUGCCAAGAAAUCUCCUAGGUUAGAACACUUAGACAUCUGGGAUGAAAUACAACAAAAGUCCUUUAAUCUUCAUUGGGAUCCUAACAAAGGGAAAACUCCACUAACCAACAAUGAAACCGGAGCUGAAGACCAGUUGUUAAGCUGACACUGACGUGACAGUGGCCCUGGGAAUGUUCGCUCCUCCAGGAGCCAAGACCUUCCAUUUUAAUGGCCAUACGGAGAUGGGGACAGGCUUUGACCUGGGCGAGGUCAGCACUCAGGACUCAGGACGGUGGAGGAUGACACCAUGACAGCAAGAAUUGCUAAGUGCUGGGGCGACAACAGGCAAGUAAAUAAAGAGCAAAGACACCCAUACCUGGGCAUCUCUUGCUGAGACUCCCAUCAACCCUGCCGUCCCUCCCCAGCAACAGCUGGUCCAGCUCAACCCUAACAGUCACUCAGCACAGUUUCUUGAUCAAAUUACUGGAAAGCAGGGCUUCCUCCCUCCCUGGCCUCCCAGUGAGUUCUCAGAGUUUCUUUUUACAUCAACAGCACACGCCUUUGUCCCCUCUUGUGGACUGAUGAUGAGUAAAAAAAAAAACAACACAGAAGGAAUGCUUGACCUCAUCUCAGCGAAUAGGAUUCUAUCAGUCAUGAAAGCCACCAGCUGCCACGACACCGUGGAACCACCUUUGGGGCCCCUUGACAAUCUAUGGAGAGCACAGCGAUUCCAAUCAGGAAUUUGGCGAUGGACAUAAUCAGUAACAGCCACCCCAGAGCCCUCCUGCCACCUCCUGGAGACCCCAGGCCCUCCUUUCAGAGCUCCUAGAACCCUCCAGGCUCUGAGGAGUUGUGCUUGCACCUGUCGCCUCACCACUCCGACCUCGCCUGUCCCAAAUUCAAGGCAAAAACAGAGAUCUGGACAGUUUCUCUGCAACAGGUCUCCCUGGGUUUCCCGGUGGCCACUGGGCUGCAUCAAGGCUGCAUCCUCUCCUUGUAGGAAGCAAAGACUGCACGUGGCUUCUGCUUCUUCGCCUCAUUUACUGAAAGGCCUGUGCUCCGAACUACAGCUCAGAGAUGGAAUCUUCCAGAAGGAAACACCUGAGGAGCCUCCAAUGACUUCAGCCAUCCCCUGAAACUGUCGGGGUGGAUUCUGGACACAGGCUUCUCAGGAAUACCUGCCACAAUCCCCACAGACAGUGGACUGAGGCAGGCCCCCCUGGAUUUCAGUCCGGAGACAGUCAAACUGCUCAGCUCGAAGACAAGUAGCCAAGACUAAUGGACUGAACAAACAAUUCAUUUGUUUAUUGUAUUAGACUUGUCACGAGCUUGCGAUUAGCCUUUUUCUUAGCCUUUAAUGCUUGGCUUAACUGGUCAUACUUGUAGAAACUUGAAUAAAACAUCUCAGA